AGUGAACGCUGGCGGUAGGCCUAACACAUGCAAGUCGAACGGCAGCACAGUAAGAGCUUGCUCUUACGGGUGGCGAGUGGCGGACGGGUGAGGAAUACAUCGGAAUCUACUUUUUCGUGGGGGAUAACGUAGGGAAACUUACGCUAAUACCGCAUACGACCUACGGGUUAAAGCAGUGGAUCUUCGGACCUUUCGCGAUUGAAUGAGCCGAUGUCGGAUUAGCUAGUUGGCGGGGUAAAGGCCCACCAAGGCGACGAUCCGUAGCUGGUCUGAGAGGAUGAUCAGCCACACUGGAACUGAGACACGGUCCAGACUCCUACGGGAGGCAGCAGUGGGGAAUAUUGGACAAUGGGCGCAAGCCUGAUCCAGCCAUACCGCGUGGGUGAAGAAGGCCUUCGGGUUGUAAAGCCCUUUUGUUGGGAAAGAAAAGCAGCAGGUUAAUACCCCGCUGUUCUGACGGUACCCAAAGAAUAAGCACCGGCUAACUUCGUG
rnacentral:rRNA from 1 species